UAAAUGAAACAUUUAAAAUCAUGAGCUCAUGAUGAAUUAUUUAGUCCGUGUCACGAACUAAGAUAAAAUAGACUAGAGAGUGUGCAAUGAACACGAGUCCUUAUCAAACGAUCUGGUUUUGUUGUAAAACUUUUGCCGUAAAAUGGACAAUUUUGAAGUAAUGGACAGACAUUAAACACUUCUUAUUAAAGAGGCUUACACACUAGGCGUUUAAUCGCGCGCGUACGCGUUUUUAAAAACGCGGCAAUUAUUUGUUUUAUAUAAAACACCCGCAUUUAAAUUAAACCGUGCACACCAUAAGUAAAAACAUGCGUUCGGACGCGACCGAUCGAGCAGGUUUGAUUUUGGGCGAUCGGUCGUGACACAGAAAAUUUUAAUUUUUAAUUAAUUCCAUAUAUUUGGAAGAGUCAAUUUGGAAUACAAGUACUUACAGAAUCCAAAAGUAUCGCGAUAAAAUUUCAAAAUAUGUUAACUGGUGCAAAAUAGCUACAAGUUUUGUUCCAAAUUUCGUAGAUUUGGACGAGAAAACAAAACAAACCAAGAUAAAAGGUUUAAACACUAAAUGGAAAUCUCUCAGAGAUAGUUACAGAAGAAAAUGUGUUUCAAAAUUAGGUCAGGCAAGGUCAAGCAAAACUAAAUACGCAUAUAGUGAUAUAUUAGAAUUCUUACGUCCUACUAUGACAAAUGGAGAAACAGAAAGUAAUUUUACACAAAAAAAUGAAUAUAAUGAAAGUGAUAAUGAUGAAAUAAAUAUGGAAGAAUACUCGACUGAUGAUGGAGAAGGCGUCAUUGUAAAAGACAAUAUUGAAUAAAAAAAUAGUAUAACUGUUCAAAAGUCAAAUGUUAUACCUAAAACAGUGAAACGUUAAAAGAAGAACUUGGAAGAAGGACAUUAAUUAAAAGACUUGGAAAAUCACCUUGUAUCUUUCUUAAAAAACAGAAAACCCGAGGAAAAUUAUUCUGAUAAACUAUUUCUUCUUUCCUUACUACCACAAAUCAAAAAUAUUCCCGAAGACCAGAAACCUCAAUUGCAUAUUGACAUAUUAAUAACUAUCCAAAAAGCUAAUUUAGGUAAUCAUCAAGUUGCUUAUUAUUAUCAAAAACAACAUGGUUUAAGCAAUAUUAAUAAUUUUCAAAUGUCAACUCCUCAUAGUCAUUCCCUAGCUCUUCAUCCUCCUUCUCACAGAACACUCAAUAUUCAAAUUUCCAAAAUUAUCUCCCUUCAAAAGAUAUUCCAUCAAUUUUUCAAAAAACCAUUAUAUAUAUGAUGUCCCCUUCACCGCCUGUUGUAGAUCCAAGAUCCGACACACCAUUAAACUCAACUCCUUCUCACUUACAAACACCAAAUACAGAGUCUUCAUUUACUAGAUAAUAAAAUUUACAUUAAAAUUUUCUUUUUUUUACCUCA